GGAGAGACGCAGGAAGGUAGCCGAACCGCGGCGAUGGUUGUUCCGCGGGUAAGGGUGUAGGGCGAGGUGUAGGCAAAUCCGUACCUCAUGUGCCUGAGACCUGACACGGACCCGUAAGGGGAAGUCGGUGAUCCUAUGCUGCCAAGAAAAUCUUCUAGCGAGGUUCUAGCCGCCCGUACCCCAAACCGACUCAGGUGGUUAGGUAGAGAAUACCAAGGCGAUCGAGUGAAUCGUGGUUAAGGAAUUCGGCAAAAUACCCCCGUAACUUCGGGAGAAGGGGGGCCCAGAGGGUGACGGGACUUGCUCCCCGAGCCUGAACGGCCGCAGAGACCAGGGAGAAGCGACUGUUUACUAAAAACACAGGUCCGUGCCAAGUCGCAAGACGAUGUAUACGGACUGACGCCUGCCCGGUGCUGGAACGUUAAGGGGACCGGUUAGCCUCACGGCGAAGCUGAGAACUUAAGCGCCAGUAAACGGCGGUGGUAACUAUAACCAUCCUAAGGUAGCGAAAUUCCUUGUCGGGUAAGUUCCGACCUGCACGAAUGGCGUAACGACUUCUCCACUGUCUCAACCACGAACUCGGCGAAAUUGCACUACGAGUAAAGAUGCUCGUUACGCGCAGAAGGACGGAAAGACCCCGGGACCUUUACUACAGCUUGGUAUUGGUGUUCGGUACGGCUUGUGUAGGAUAGGUGGGAGACUGUGAAGCUGACACGCCAGUGUCGGUGGAGUCAACGUUGAAAUACCACUCUGGUCGUUCUGGAUAUCUAACCUAGGUCCGUAAUCCGGAUCAGGGACAGUGCCUGGUGGGUAGUUUAACUGGGGCGGUUGCCUCCUAAAAGGUAACGGAGGCGCCCAAAGGUUCCCUCAGCCUGGUUGGCAAUCAGGUUUCGAGUGUAAGUGCACAAGGGAGCUUGACUGUGAGACUGACAAGUCGAACAGGGACGAAAGUCGGGACUAGUGAUCCGGCGGUGGCUUGUGGAAGCGCCGUCGCUCAACGGAUAAAAGGUACCCCGGGGAUAACAGGCUGAUCUUGCCCAAGAGUCCAUAUCGACGGCAUGGUUUGGCACCUCGAUGUCGGCUCGUCGCAUCCUGGGGCUGGAGUAGGUCCCAAGGGUUGGGCUGUUCGCCCAUUAAAGCGGUACGCGAGCUGGGUUUAGAACGUCGUGAGACAGUUCGGUCCCUAUCCUCUGCGCGCGCAGGAAACUUGAGAAGGGCUGUCCCUAGUACGAGAGGACCGGGAUGGACGAACCUCUGGUGUGUCAGUUGUUCUGCCAAGAGCACCGCUGAUUAGCUACGUUCGGGAGUGAUAACCGCUGAAAGCAUCUAAGCGGGAAGCAUGCUUCAAGAUGAGGUUUCCAUGGGGUUUACCCCGAGAGGCUCCCAGCUAGACUACUGGGUUGAUAGGCCGGAUGUGGAAGUGCGGUAACGCAUGGAGCUGACCGGUACUAAUAAGCCGAUAACUUGAC
rnacentral:rRNA from 1 species